CGCUGGCGGCGUGCCUAAUACAUGCAAGUCGAGCGAACGGACGAGAAGCUUGCUUCUCUGAUGUUAGCGGCGGACGGGUGAGUAACACGUGGAUAACCUACCUAUAAGACUGGGAUAACUUCGGGAAACCGGAGCUAAUACCGGAUAAUAUUUUGAACCGCAUGGUUCAAAAGUGAAAGGCGGUCUUGCUGUCACUUAUAGAUGGAUCCGCGCUGCAUUAGCUAGUUGGUAAGGUAACGGCUUACCAAGGCAACGAUGCAUAGCCGACCUGAGAGGGUGAUCGGCCACACUGGAACUGAGACACGGUCCAGACUCCUACGGGAGGCAGCAGUAGGGAAUCUUCCGCAAUGGGCGAAAGCCUGACGGAGCAACGCCGCGUGAGUGAUGAAGGUCUUCGGAUCGUAAAACUCUGUUAUUAGGGAAGAACAUAUGUGUAAGUAACUGUGCACAUCUUGACGGUACCUAAUCAGAAAGCCACGGCUAACUACGUGCCAGCAGCCGCGGUAAUACGUAGGUGGCAAGCGUUAUCCGGAAUUAUUGGGCGUAAAGCGCGCGUAGGCGGUUUUUUAAGUCUGAUGUGAAAGCCCACGGCUCAACCGUGGAGGGUCAUUGGAAACUGGAAAACUUGAGUGCAGAAGAGGAAAGUGGAAUUCCAUGUGUAGCGGUGAAAUGCGCAGAGAUAUGGAGGAACACCAGUGGCGAAGGCGACUUUCUGGUCUGUAACUGACGCUGAUGUGCGAAAGCGUGGGGAUCAAACAGGAUUAGAUACCCUGGUAGUCC
rnacentral:rRNA from 1 species